CGUCCUUGCUGUACCAGUGUAAAUAUUUAGUUUAAUUUUAAAAAUUAUAACACAAAAUAUACUUUUCGUAGUCUAAACUCUGUGUCUGGGGGGAAGGGAAGGAAUCCGGACCGCUUAGACCCGACCCCCUUCCUCGUAAAAUCGCCACUGAAUAUCUGUAUAGUGCGCCUGACGCGCGAUAGCCCCGUCACAUCGUAUUAUAAAUACGUUAUUGAUGAACCGUAGAUAUUAUAGCGCGUGAUGAACGCAAUAUAUAAAUUGAUGGGUAUCCCAUCGAAUUCCGACCGGAGUGAAGCGGAGCGCGGUUCGAGAAUCAAAAUUCGAGAGGACGGAACGUAGCGAGGGACGGUAAUAAUUUGAAAAUACCGUUUUUUCGAAUAAAGUUCACGAAAC